GCAUCCCGCGCUAGCCACCACCCAAACCCUAGCCCUGUUUCCCCUCGAUCCCCAUAGCCUCGCCCGCCUCCUCCAUCCCUCCUCCUCGCCUCGCCACGGCCUCCACCCCGGAGCCUCGCCGCCGCCUGCGAUUCCUCCCUCCUGCCCGCAGAGCCCAUUGGGCUCGCCAACCCUAGCCCCAAUCCACAUCCCCCACGCCCCUCACUGGUCCCUCCUCCUCCUUCCCUCGUCCGCCGCCUCGCUCCCUCGGUCUCCUCCCUCGUUGCCGUGGCCUUCGGCCUAGGAGCCCUGCCGCCUACUGCUCCUCCUCACCACCUCGCCUCUUUCUCCUCCUCGCCUUCCCAUCGCUCGCGCGCAGGUCACCACCGUCGGAGAACAUGGGAGUGCGGGUCUUCAAGUUGGGGUGGUCAGGAGGGCUUCCCAACCUGACGUCGCCUCCUCCUCCUCGCAGCGUCGUCGCGCGUGCACCUUCUUCUCCUCCCUCCUUCCUCCCUCGUCACUACUUCCACCAGUCCCCUCCCUUCCUCGUCUGUGGCCGCUGCUGACCCAUCCUCCGGCCUCCGCGUCUCCGCCCAGGCGGCAAGGCCCCCAGCCCCCCUCGGGCCCUCCGUACAGCCCGCUUCUGCCUCGUCCAACUCGCUACUUAGCUCCCAAGGCUCGGAGGGCAGCGGACACGGCAGGCUCGGCAGGCAGCGGGCGCGAUGGUCAAGGCCAGGGGCGCGGAUUGGGGAGAUGCGCACACGAGGAGCGACGGCGACCGCGUCUGCCGCCAACAUCGAGAUUAGCUCUUCGUUCUUUCAAGCCCUAUGUUGCUUACUCAAAUGUUUGUGGCAAUUGUAUCCUUGUACCAUGAAUAUUUGUACUUAGCAGAUCAAUAUAAACAUAUUGGCUAUCUAUUUACCAAUUCAGAAUUUAAAGCACUUUAUUUUAUGGCCUUGAGUAAAAGUUCAGUCGUUGUUGGCUGGAAGACAUCUUCAAUACGCCGUCAACACGAGCUUCCCAAGGUAAUGAUCUAAGAGGAAGUGAGUUGGAUAUGAGAUGGGGACAGAAGAUCCUGCAACGAUGUUGUUUCUUUGUUCUCCUGCUCAAGGUGGAUGAGCCCCGUCCUGUGUUAUUCCCCUUGGUUUCUGAAGCUCCCAGGAUUUAAUAAUGAGUUUCUUGGGCUUCAUUGGACAAAUGAUCUACCUCGAGCAAUGAUACAGGUUGGCGUUGAAGCCUGAUGGCGUUUUUCUUGCAGCAAAUAUUGGCGGGAAGACUCUAAAGUGAUAAUCUUAAAUUUGCCAUUUACCGACAUUUUCCAGUUUCUUGUUUGACUUGCCUUUUCUUGGAUGCGAUGAUAAGGGAACUAAGAAUUGCGUGCACUAUUGCUCAAAUCGAACGUAAGGGAGGCAUCAGUCCUCGAAUGUUGCCUUUAGAACAAGUAUGAUUCCUUUAUAAUAUGAGAUUUUGCCCUUCCAGGAGUUGAUGUAGAUCGAUAUACAGUCAAGUACAAUACUGGCGUGUAUAAAAAAACUUGAAUUUUCCUGGGAUUGAACUUUGAACUAAUAAAUCUAGACUAUGGAGGUAAUGUGCUUUGCAUUAUUAUAGAUCGUAUAUGCUGCUCUUACUUAAUUAUACUUUCUAAUUACAUGCUGCCCCUGUUUCUUUUGCUGUGCUAAAAAUGGGUGCUUACUUUCAAUCUAAUCGCAUCAAUAGACUUGCGGGCGUAUAGUAUUUCUGUAAUCUCUAUGCCUUACCGGUUUUGUGAUUUCAGCUCAGGUGGAUGAGCCCCGUCCCGUGUUAUUCCCCUUGGUUUCUGAAGCUCCCAGGAUUUAAUAAUGAGGUGUCUUGGGCUUCAUUGGACAGAUGAUCUACCUCGAGCAAUGAUACAGGUUGGCGUUGAAGCCUGAUGGCGUUUUUCUUGCAGCAAAUCUUGGCAAGAAGACUCUGAAGUGAUAAUCUUAAAUUUGCCAUUUACCGACAUUUUCCAGUUUCUUGUUUGACUUGCCUUUUCUUGGAUGCGAUGAUAAGGGAACUAAGAAUUGCGUGCACUAUUGCUCAAAUGGAACAUAAGGGAGGUAUCAGUCCUCAAAUGUUGCCUCUAGAACAAAAGUAACGCUCAAAAGCCUGAAUAGAAUUCCUUGGGAAAGGGUAGAUGUUAGCUUCAAGAGAAGUAGACAAUGGAUUUUUGCCCACAGCACCAUUCAGCCCUACUGCUCCUGAGCCCAAAUCCCAUGACCAUGCCCCCACCUCUCCUUUGUUAAAUGAAGGGAGUCUGGUUGCUAAAAACAGCUUUUCUAUAGCAAUAGCCAAAUAGUGUGACAUAACACUAUUCCAUUUUCACAGGCCAUAACACAUCUUUACAUGUGUUCCAAGACCCAAUUCAUCGGAAAAACAACACAUACAACACUUUUUUCUUUUGAACUUUGGUUACCCUUAUACAAGCCCCCAUUCAUUUUGUUUAUAUGGUGGUUAGAAUAGUAACCAUAUGUGCUUGCUCGAUACUGAUAAAUGGAAUAUUUUCAAAGCACGUAUGGUGUGGAUAUGUUCGCAAUUUGGCGCAACGGCAGAUUACUAAAAAAUACACAUUUUUUCAACAUGACAUGGUCUUGAAAUGGGACUCUACUACCAAAUUAAAAUGUGUAGGUAUAUCUCAUUGUAGAUGACAAGUCUCUAUUUUUUUAUUAAAGGGGUUUAAAUUUGUUAUCAUAUAUGCUUGCCCGCUACUAAAACAACUAAAACAUGGAAUUUCUUUUCAUGCUGAACAUGGAUUUAGUGGGUCUCUAUGCUAUUUGUUACCCAGCCGAUGAACCGAGAAAGAAAGGAAGGGGAUAGACAGUCUUUGCUCGCUCCGCCCCCGCCGCUUCUUAUUCAGCUCCUCACGGGUCACAGGCAUCGCUCUACGAAAAAUAUGCAUGGCCAGGUUUCUCAUCAUGAUAACCAUGUUUCCAAACUUGCUAAAAAAUACAACCAUGCCAACUUUACUCUCUCAUCAUAGUGCCCUUAUUUUCAAACUGAGCAUAUUCAUAUUAUGCACAGUUUCCCUUUUUCCAUACUAUUAUUUAACAACGUAAUAAACAUGUUUAAAAAAUAGCAUGAUUUAGUUGAAGGUUCUUGCAGCAUGAAACUAUUUUCAUCGACAACAUGUCUUCAGCAGGUCUCUGCGCCAUU